rnacentral:lncRNA from 1 species
CUGUGGAUCUGGUGCUUUUGGCACUUCUUUCUCUAAAUUUGAAGUUGUACGUACCCUUCCUGCUCUCUUCUCGCUGCCACCACACUGAAAGCAAUAAGAACUUUUAAGAAUAAAUCGGAAAAAAAAGAAUGUACUUUAAUAUCUUGAAAGAAGAAAUAUAAAAAUGAAAGUAUGAAUUGAAAAUAUCUUUGCAGCUUUGGGUGGUUAAGGAUCACAAGAAGAAGGAAUAUAAUUUUUGGGUUUGACAUAUUUAUGAUAGCUGAGAUUAUCUCUUGGAAUCACUAAUAGCUUGUGAAGCUAAUCCAUAAUUCGUCUACCUAAUACAGAAAAUAAUAAUAAUAAUAAUAAUAAUUACAAAAAUCUAAAGUUGUUAAUAGCAAGAAUACUUAAACAUUCUAAAGGAUGUGACGUUAGUAACGGAAGGUCAGUAUCAUCGUAAUAUGUGAAGCAUCGUCUUUGAUUUCUUUAAGAGCAGUAGAAAGGUAUAAGAAUCUGCUAUGCACAAGUUUGCAUAUUUAAAACUACUUUCAAGUAGACAUAUAAUUGAAACAUUGCUUGGUAGGAAACUAUUUGAUCUUUAUGUAUCCCCUUUUUAUAGCAUAUUAUUGAACACAUAAGGAUCAUAUUGAAGGCAACCAAAGAACUAACAAAAGCUCAAUUUUCACUUAAAUCGAUUUAUUAUAAAAUAUCAACUGUGUAAGACGAUGGAGUAUAACAAUUAGCAUAACAUAACCUCUUCCAAGAGUAGCUAGUUUAAACCAACAUCAACGACUAAUAAGCAUGAGUUGAGAUGAAAAAAUGUCUAGUGUUGGUGGUCUCAUUCCAUCUUUCUUUGCAACUUCUCAAGAAAGAGAGCUUUCAUCUUUUGACAGGCCAUGUAUUUUAGCUCUUUGGAAAA